rnacentral:rRNA from 1 species
GACGAACGCUGGCGGCGUGCUUAACACAUGCAAGUCGAACGAAGUGGCGAACGGGUGAGUAACGCGUAAUCAACCUGCCCUUCAGAGGGGGACAACAGUUGGAAACGACUGCUAAUACCGCAUACUUAAGGAGGGGUUUGCGUCUGGUUAGCUAGUUGGAGGGGUAACGGCCCACCAGGGCGAUGAUCAGUAGCCGGUAUGAGAGGCAGAGCGGCCACCGUGGGACUGUGUAACGGCCCAGAUUCCUACGGGGGGCAGCAGGAGGGAAUCGUCCGCAAUGGACGAAGAUCUGACGGAGAAACGCCGCGUGAGUAAUGACGGCCUUCGGGUUGUAAAGCUAUGUUUAUCGGGACGCGGUACCGGAAUAGAAAGCCACGGCUAACUACGUGCCAGCAGCCGCGGUAAUAC